GCGGAGGUGGUGAAACGGCAGACACGCUGUCUUCAGGCGGCAGUGCCCACAAGGCGUGAGGGUUCAAAUCCCUUCCUCCGCACCA
rnacentral:tRNA from 2 species